rnacentral:rRNA from 1 species
UCCGCGUGUAGUGGUGAAAUGCGUAGAUAUGCGGAGGAACACCAGUGGCGAAAGCGGCCUCCUGGACCAUUUCUGACACUCAGACACGAAAGCUAAGGUAGCAAACGGGAUUAGAGACCCCGGUAGUCUUAGCUGUAAACGAUGUGAACUUAGUGUCGGUGGGGUUAAAUCCAUCGGUACUGAAGCAAACGCGAUAAGUUCACCGCCUGGGGACUACGGCCGCAAGGUUAAAACUCAAAAGAAUUGACGG